rnacentral:lncRNA from 1 species
AUGCUUCAGGUGCUCCAUUCUUGGAAGAUGAAGUGCUUCUUCAAAAAUCCUUUCCAAACAAGCUCUCAAGUCAAUUACUCUCUUUUGAAACUCAAAGAGAGAAGACUACAAUAUUUGAGUAACUUGAAUAAAUGUUAUGUGACCCUGCCUUGGCUCUAAAAUAAGAGUACCCCCAAAAGUAAAAGUAUUUCAAUUAUUGGUUCUAAGUGGUUAAUUCUUUUAAACAAUUAACUUAUAUUGUUUUUCACUAAAAAUUUUUUAAAUUCUCUUUUUCCUGUCUAGACUCUGGAGACUACCAGAAUUUUGUUCAUUAGCAAGGAAUUCUUCUGGGUCUUUCAGAGGAUGCUAAGACUCAUGGACAUGUUUCUGCCCUUUUGGGAAAAGUCCAGGUCCUUCUUCUAUCCAUAUGUUGUCAUGUCCUAUACACGAAAAUAAUAACUCUGAGCUGAUUACUUUUACUACAAAUUUUAUCUCCAAAAGCCCCAAACUCCACUUUAUCUGUUUACUAUGUUCUCCACUAAAUAUUCUUCCCCACCCUAGCUCUUUCUUCUGAAAUCCAACUCAUGAAGGCUUCAUAACCUCACUCACACAUUCUACCUCCCCCCUCUGACCCUCAUGACACUAUAGACCCUUUUCUGGCAUUCACGGUCUUAGAUUGGGAUUUUCUUUUUUUUUUUUUUUUUGAAUGAUUUUGUCCAACAUUCACUCUGAGAGGGCAGGGAUGUCUUCCUUUGGUCUCUCAUAAUCAAGUGAGCAAUAAAUUUCUUAAUUAAUUGUGUUCUUUUAAAAUUAAGCCCAAGAUCUCUACUAUGAUUUUUUUUAAACUGUCAUUUUAAAGAACCAGCUAUUUAUUUUCAAAAGCACAAAGAAACAUGCCACUCAACUAAAAGCCCAUAUUACAGUUACUGAGUCUGUAAGGAUGUAAGAGAGGAUUUUUAUUCAACCAUAAAUAAUCAUUUGUCAUCUACACUGCACAAAUAAUUAUUCCAGGGUAAUUGGAGGUUGCAGUGAAGAACCAAAUGAACAUCCAAAUUUGUGAAGUGUUAUAAAAUAAUUGAAUAGCCAAUCAAUUAAAAGGUAAUUGUAAGCAAUUCAUAGAGAUUUGAAUCAUGGGUUUGGGGCAAGAAAAAUGAUCUUGUUCAUUCAGGCUCUCAUGAGAAGUAGAUCAGUAAAAUGGAAAAUCUGGAGUUCAAAAGCCAGCAAUAAAUGAAACUACCCAAAAAUCUACAUAAAAGCCUUCUAAUAGAGCCUCCAUUUGUGGCAUCAAGGGAGAAAAAUAUGGAGCAAUAAAUAUUAGCCACUUCAUAAAGAUUGGCAUCUCAUUUUACUAGAUAACUACCCAGUAAAUGUCACUGAGGCUGAGAAAACAUUGCGUAGUAAAAUGCUGCCAUUAGAUUAUGACAACAAAUUGUUCUCUUACAAGUUGGUUUGGCUACUCCUGUAUGUAACCUGAAUUCUAGCCCAGUGCUGUCUGCAUGAUCCCAGGCACACCAUUUAACCUUUAAGAAUCUCUGGGUCUAUAAAUUCGCUUACUCACCAGGGUUAUGAAAGCUAAAUUAUAUCUAAUACAUGAAAGUGUUAGUGAAGAAUUAGGUAUCCUACCAAAGGCAUUAUUAUGUUUCUCUCUGCUUAAAUAUUAAGUCAAUAUGUUUAUUACAUUAAACUUGUAUUUUAUUUUAAGACAUAUAUAGAUAUUUUCUGCUUGAAAUUUGAGUGAAAAUUCAUAUCAAGGAACAGGAAUUAAUAAUGAAAUGUCUAGCCAUACUAUAGCCAUAUUUUAGCAAUGUUCCUCCCCCAAAUGCGUUUGAGCUCUAUUUUAUACCAUUCAUUUGUCAUCAUGUAGCAAGUGGUACUGAUUUUUCACUUAUUGAAAGAACUUAUACAGGAUUCUUUAAGUAUUGCAUCCCCCAGAGCCUAUUCUCAUUCUCAUCUAGCCUGGAGAGAAAAUGAUCUGAAACGGAUUUUU